rnacentral:lncRNA from 1 species
UAAAAUGCAAUACUAAAUUAAAAGAUGAAAUUAUAGCUUCUAAAAGAAAACGAAUACUCCAGGACCAUAGCACCUCUAACUCCAAUGCAUCACCGUCUCAUUCUCUCAACCAAAAUGUAAAUGCAUAGUGUCUCUUGGAUUGAAAACGAAAACAAAUGCAACAGUAUAACGUUUCUGAAUGUAACCUUUGCAUUAACUAAAAGAAAGGAAAUCAAAAACUGCAGGUGUACAUUGAAAAAUGAAAGAAAAUUUGAGUACGUCUCUCUUCCAAAGAAAAUAAAGGUGUUUCUCAAAUUCCAUUUGAAUUCAAUUUGUAAACGUAACCUUGCAUUCCAGCCCCUUCCAUCAAUCACCGUCCAUGGUAGCGGCUGCAGAAUUUUCAUCCGUACCCCUCCAUUCCACUUGCAACCAGCAACGUGAUUCUUUGAAAAACAAAUUCAAUCCAAGCUAAGAAACAUUUUCCAGCAUAAACGAAAAUUAAGUAAGUGGCGGCUAAGAAAAAUCAAAGCACCGUUCCAGCAUCUACAUUCCAGCCCCAAAUGUUCCAGCCAAAGAAAUCCCCAAUAGAAAUUAAAAAAAAAGAAACAUUCUUCUUCAUUCAUCAACCAAAAUCCAACAAUAAAAAAAAAUAUAGCGUUGUUCCAGCAAGAAGAAAAAAACGUUGCUGCAGCUCCUAAUAGAAUUGCCGAAAGAUAGAGCUCAACGUUGCAGCAAUAACUAAUCAAAAUGGCAGCAGCUGGCCUUUUUAAAGAUAUGCCCAGAGGGAGUGUAUCCCUAUGUGACGGCUGGAUGCUCCAAUUCCUAGGACAUGUGUCUCAAAAAUAGGGUGGGGUCCACCCUCUUUGCAAAACCCUAGGUGCCAUGUCAUGUUUCCUAUUUGGGCUCAAACUAUUUUGCCAAAAAUUG